rnacentral:lncRNA from 1 species
AGCUGAGCACAGCCUUCAUGCAAAGCCAAAACAAUUGAGCGACCACCACUCGAAUAACUUGACGGCUAAACGGUAAUCCGGAAUUUGUCUUGAAAUGUCAAGUAACGAUUACACAAACAAUUAUCGUACCACCCAAAAACGGGAAUCAUACGGUAAAUUCGUCAUAACAAAACUCAGUCCUAACAACCAAACAGUUAACGGAAAUGUUCCACUUGUCAAAAAUCGACCAAGUUCCAUAUACUACGAUUCACUUUAAGCCCGCUGUGUUUUACUCGUAAAAUGCGGCAUGUAAGGAAAACUCAUUACAGAGCUCCUAUAGCUAUACGGAACAUCCUCAAAUAGAC